rnacentral:rRNA from 1 species
AGCAGCCGCGGUAAUUCCAGCUCCAAUAGCGUAUAUUAAAGUUGUUGCAGUUAAAAAGCUCGUAGUUGAAUUUCGGGAUCAAUUUGCUGGUCGUGCCUCUGGUACGUACUGGUAUUAUUGGUUUCUCCCUUCUGACGAACCAUGAUGUCAUUAAUUUGAUGUCGUGGAGAAUCAGGACUGUUACUUUGAAAAAUUAGAGUGUUUAAAGCAGGCAUUAGCUUGAAUACAUUAGCAUGGAAUAAUGAAAUAGGACGUUUGAUCCUAUUUUGUUGGUUUCUAGGAUUGACGUAAUGAUUAAUAGGGAUAGUUGGGGGCAUUAGUAUUCAAUUGUCAGAGGUGAAAUUCUUGGAUUUAUUGAAGACUAACUACUGCGAAAGCAUUUGCCAAGGAUGUUUUCAUUAAUCAAGAACGAAAGUUAGGGGAUCGAAGACGAUCAGAUACCGUCGUAGUCUUAACCAUAAACUAUGCCGACUAGGGAUCGGAUGAUG